rnacentral:rRNA from 1 species
UAGUACGGCGAGUGAGAGGGAAGAGCCCAAGAUUGAAAGCUGGCGUCUUCGGCGUCCGCAUUGUAAUCUCAAGAAGUGUUUUCCGCUUCGGACCAUGCCUAAGUCCCUUGGAAAAGGGCAUCAUAGAGGGUGAUAAUCCCGUACAUGGCAUGGAGCGCCCGAAGCUUUGUGAUACGCUUUUUAAGAGUCGAGUUGUUUGGGAAUGCAGCUCAAAAUGGGUGGUAAAUGCCAUCUAAGGCUAAAUAUUGGGGAGAGACCGAUAGCGAACAAGUACAGUGAUGGAAAGAUGAAAAGAACUUUGAAAAGAGAGUUAAACAGUACGUGAAAUUGCCAAAAGGGAAGGGUAGGAGGUCAGAGAUGCGUCGCAGGAUUCAGCCUUGCUUUUGCUUGGUGUUUUUCCCAGAUUGCAGGCCAACGUCGGUUUUGGGCACUGGAGAAGGGUAGGAGGAACGUGGCACCUCUCGGGGUGUGUUAUAGCCUCCUACUGGAUACAGCGACCGAGACCGAGGACAGCAGCGUACUCGCAAGAGCGGGCCUUCGGGCACCUUUACGCUUAGGGCGUUGGCAUAAUGGCCCUCUACCACCCGUCU